rnacentral:tRNA from 1 species
AGCCAUGUAGCUCAGUGGUAGAGCACACCCCUGAUAAGGGUGGGGUCGGCAGUUCAAUCCUGCCCAUGGCUACCA